UUCCUCCAAUGAUGUUAGCACUGGGCGCGGAUUGCAAUGACGAUGACAGUGCCCCCCAUGCCUUUGACAUCAUGGGGGGCUGAGGAGAAG
ensembl:snoRNA small nucleolar RNA SNORD88